GUGGGGAAUAUUCCGCAAUGGACGAAAGUCUGACGGAGCAACGCCGCGUGAGUGAUGAAGGUUUUCGGACUGUAAAGCUCUGUUGUUUAGGACGAAAGUGCCUGUUGCAAAUAGUUACAGGUAUUGACGGUACUGAACGAGGAAGCCACGGCUAACUACGUGCCAGCAGCCGCGGUAAUACGUAGGUGGCAAGCGUUGUCCGGAAUUAUUGGGCGUAAAGAGCAUGUAGGCGGGAAUCUAAGUCUGUUUUGAAAAUGCGGGGCUCAACCCCGUAUUGCGAUGGAAACUGGGUUUCUUGAGUGCAGGAGAGGAAAGGGGAAUUCCCAGUGUAGCGGUGAAAUGCGUAGAUAUUGGGAGGAACACCAGUGGCGAAGGCGCCUUUCUGGACUGUGUCUGACGCUGAGAUGCGAAAGCCAGGGUAGCGAACGGGAUUAGAAACCCGAGUAGUCC
rnacentral:rRNA from 1 species